rnacentral:misc_RNA from 1 species
AGAAACCAUGAAGUACAAGAACUAAGAAACUUUGAAUGGAACAGCAAGGGUAAAAGAAAAGGCAUCAAGCUGAAUUCCUGAGGUGACUGUUGGAAUUCUUGCAAGAACAAGUCGGUGUAAACAUAUAUCCAUGGAGUGCCAUCUUAUGUAAAAGGGACCCCUGGCAUUUUACAGCGUGUGGAAACUUUGUCAAUAGUUCUUAUCGUAGACACCUACUGUAAGAUGUUAUGCUAAUGCUAUAUUAACCUUCACUAUCUUCUUGGACAAGCAGU